rnacentral:rRNA from 1 species
UGGGAAUUUUGGACAAUGGGCGCAAGCCUGAUCCAGCCAUGCCGCGUGCGGGAAGAAGGCCUUCGGGUUGUAAACCGCUUUUUGUCAGGGAAAGAAAUCUUCUGAGUUAAUACCUCGGGAGGAUGACGGUACCUGAAGAAUAAGCACCGGCUAACUACGUGCCAGCAGCCGCGGCAAUACGUAGGGUGCAAGCGUUAAUCGGAAUUACUGGGCGUAAAGCGUGCGCAGGCGGUUUUGUAAGACAGAGGUGAAAUCCCCGGGCUCAACCUGGGAACUGCCUUUGUGACUGCAAGGCUUGAGUGCGGCAGAGGGGGGAUGGAAUUCCGCGUGUAGCAGUGAAAAUGCGUAGAUAUGCGGAGGAACACCGAUGGCGAAGGCAAUCCCCUGGGCCUGCACUGACGCUCAUGCACGAAAAGCGUGGGGAGCAAAAACAGGAUUAGAUACCCCUGGUAGUCCACGCCCUAAAACGAUGUCAACUGGUUGUUGGGAAGGUUCCUUCUCAGUAACGUAGCUAACGCGUGAAAGUUGACCGCCUGGGGGAGUACGGCCGCAAGGUUGAAAACUC